rnacentral:rRNA from 1 species
CGAUGAACCACUUCGGUGGGGAUUAGUGGCGAACGGGUGAGUAACACGUGGGCAAUCUGCCCUGCACUCUGGGACAAGCCCUGGAAACGGGGUCUAAUACCGGAUACUGACCCUCACGGGCAUCUGUGAGGUUCGAAAGCUCCGGCGGUGCAGGAUGAGCCCGCGGCCUAUCAGCUUGUUGGUGAGGUAAUGGCUCACCAAGGCGACGACGGGUAGCCGGCCUGAGAGGGCGACCGGCCACACUGGGACUGAGACACGGCCCAGACUCCUACGGGAGGCAGCAGUGGGGAAUAUUGCACAAUGGGCGAAAGCCUGAUGCAGCGACGCCGCGUGAGGGAUGACGGCCUUCGGGUUGUAAACCUCUUUCAGCAGGGAAGAAGCGAAAGUGACGGUACCUGCAGAAGAAGCGCCGGCUAACUACGUGCCAGCAGCCGCGGUAAUACGUAGGGCGCGAGCGUUGUCCGGAAUUAUUGGGCGUAAAGAGCUCGUAGGCGGCUUGUCACGUCGGUUGUGAAAGCCCGGGGCUUAACCCCGGGUCUGCAGUCGAUACGGGCAGGCUAGAGUUCGGUAGGGGAGAUCGGAAUUCCUGGUGUAGCGGUGAAAUGCGCAGAUAUCAGGAGGAACACCGGUGGCGAAGGCGGAUCUCUGGGCCGAUACUGACGCUGAGGAGCGAAAGCGUGGGGAGCGAACAGGAUUAGAUACCCUGGUAGUCCACGCCGUAAACGGUGGGCACUAGGUGUGGGCAACAUUCCACGUUGUCCGUGCCGCAGCUAACGCAUUAAGUGCCCCGCCUGGGGAGUACG